GAUGACUACAGUCAAGGAAAUGAGCCUGUCACCUUCCCUGGUUACCGUUUCUUUGCAAGCAAUCCUUUCCUAGAAAGCCCUGCUGUCAGAUGACAUUUCCAACAGGAGACUUCUCUUCUGAUACACCACAGUGGCCUUUUCUUGUCAGGCCUUCCCUGGUGUCCUGUGUCCAAAUUUUGCACCUUUGCGCCACAUCCCGGACGGUAGUUUACUUCUUAAGACUGAGCUCUGUCCUCGGGUUGGGGCGGCACUGGAUUCUUCGCCGAAGGGACUGCCGAAUAGAGGGGGCCCUCGGCAAAUGCUUGGAGGAACGCACCCCGGCCAGUCAGGCUCUUUUGCUUUGCAGGUGAGAGGCGCAGCAGUCGCUCUGGCCUACAUCAGCAGAGUCGACGAUGUGAACCCAGGGACCAGUGACUUUGGAACAUUGAAAAGAGCAUCGCAUGUCACUGGCUUAUUUGUCAAAAUAAACACAGAGCACUCAUCACCCGG